GCUAGCGUGGCCGAGUGGUCUAAGGCGCUGGUUUUAGGCACCAGUCAUUUCGAUGACGUGCGUUCGAAUCCCACCGCUGCCA
rnacentral:tRNA from 1 species